rnacentral:lncRNA from 1 species
GGCCUAUAAAAUAUGUAUUUACCUUGUGUACUCAUUUGGAGGUUUAAAAUUUCACUGAGGAGACCUUUAACAUUUUUAUAAUAAUCAUUUUACUAAAGCAAAGAUUAAGUACACAUUUUCCCAACAUAACAAUUUCAUCUAUGGAUAGGCAUUAGCUACAUGAUUUUUCAUUUUAAAACCCCACAAUGAUUAUUUUUCAGACAUAAAUAAAAAAUACACUGGUUCUAGAUGCCAACAAAAUCACAUUUGCAAACCUUAAGAGUUUGGUAAGUUACAACAUUAAGAUGACUAACGAUAUGUGUGCAGUAUUCUCAGUAUAGAAUACCCAAAAUUCCCGUGUACAUCUGUGUUGCUUGAGUGUCCCAGUAUGGGAGGAGGUAGACUUGGCACAUCGAAAGCCACUGCUAUACUAAAGAAUCAUACAAAGUCUCAGGGAUUCUUCAGAGAAUCAGCUAUUAUAAAAUCCAUCUUGAUAAUUCAUUUUGUGCGAGAAUGUGAGAAUGAAAUGCAAAGGAGGUUAAUUUUACCCAGGAGAGCAUUCAUAUCCUUUUCCACUUGUCAGAAUAUACUUGAUUCAUAAGUGGUCUUUUACCGACCUACGACUACAUCACAAGAGCAUGCCAGCCACAGUGUCUUCCCUUAACACUUUGUGUUUUUUUGUAGGGAUUAUGGUCACAUAGUCACACGGUCCCUUCUCCUCCUGGGCAGGUCCUUUUCCCUUCUGUCCCAGCCUUGCUGCCAACACAAGAUCAUAUAGCCUCUGUGUCCACCCAGCCAGUUAAUUGUUCAUGGACCAAACUAGUGAUCUGGCCUCAAUCUCUCCACUGCCAGCUCUAGAUGCUAUUGAUUUUUACUGAUAAUAUAAGUAGUAAUAUACUGGAGAAAAUUUUUUAAAGCAUAAAACCAGGAAAACCCAUAAUCCAACUACCCAGAGUUUGCAUAUCCUUUCCAUCUUUUUAAAAGUCAUUUUUUGGAUUUAUACAUACAAUUUUGUAUAUCACUCUUUUCACUUAACACUAUAAGCACUUUGCCAUGCUGUCAAAUACUCUUCAGAAACAUAAAUUAUAAUGAUGGCACAACAGUCUACUGGAUAGUCAUACUGUAAUUUACUUAACCAAUUUUCUACUGUUGGACUUUAAGAUUGUCAAGCCUUGAUUUUGCCCACAUUUUAGACUAUUUCUUUAGGACAAAUUCCCAGAAGUGGAAUUGGAGGAUCAGAGGAUCUAAACAUUUUUAAAGCUCCUGAUAGAUAUUGCCAAAUUGCUUUUCAGAAAACCAUUGCCAGUCUACACUUCUAACAUUGCCAGUGUGUUUUUCUGCCAAUAUAGAUCUGUCUAAAGGAUAAUAAAAUUUAAAUGAAACACGCAGUCCUCUAAUUAUUAAUGCAGCUGGAGAGGCAUCAAGACCAGAGCACAAAGGCAUGUGGCAACAGUCAUACCUAUUUCCAGGUAUGCAGUUAACAAUGGGUUAGUGUGCACACACGGAACAGAAAAUUUGCAAGAGUGAAGAGUAAUAUAAUUAGAUUUCAGACCAUCUAAUCCAAGGCCUGUGUCUAUUUUGUACACUGCUGUAUCUCGGCACACAAGAUAGCAUCUGGCCCAUACAGCCACUCAAUAAAAAAUUGUUGAGUGAAUUAACACAGAAUCUUCUUUCAGAUGCAAUCUUUCAGCAGCUGUAGGGUUUAGUUACUCCUGAACUCAUAGGAAACAUGACUGACUGGAUCAGACAAUUUUGUAAUGGACUGUUCAAUGCUGAGAUUCUACUACAACUUUGGAAAAUCAGUUUAAAUAAAGGUGACACAAUAAAGAGCUCUCUAGGGGAAAAGACAAAUACACUUACCUAAAAGGACAGAUCUCAGCACCAGUUGCAAGGUGCAAAUACACAUAUGUAUCUGUAAUACAUAUAUAUAUUUGCAAGCAUGCAAAAAAUACAUUUCAGUGAGUUUUGUCAUCUCCAUAGUACACACUUUAAUAGGUGAUAACAUAAGCUUAUUCAAAUGCUACCCAUGGUCAAAUCAUUUUUGGGACUACCUUCAGUUCAUUCUAUUAUUGUUGGUUGCAGCUUGGCAUCAGUUUUAGUGUUGCCAACACUGGUUUUGAUAUUUUACAUGGGAAUAAUAUAGGUGGUUUUAUAAUAUCAUUUUUAGUCAAAAACAGCACAAAAUUUAUUUUGUGAACCAGAAUAUUUCAAGGUAAAAUAGCCAAUCAUUCAGCUUUAGUUUACUCUCCUGGCUCCACAGAGUCCCUCCAAUAUUCCACAAUUUCUUUUUUUUGUUUGAGACAGGGUCUCACUCUGUCGCCUAGGCUGUAGUGCAGUAGCACGAUCAUGGCUCACUGCAGCCUGGACCUCCUGGGCUCAAGUGAUCCUCCUGCCUCAACCCUGCAAGUAGCUGGGACUACAGCCACGUGCCACCAUGCCAGGCUAAUUUUUGUAUUUUUUUGUAGAGAUGGGGUUUCACCAUGUUGGCCCAGGUUGGUCUCUAACUUCUGGCCUCAAGCAAUCUGCCCGCCUCAGCCUCCCAAAGUGCUAGGAUUACAGACAUGAGCCAUCGUGCCUGGCCCACAAUUUCCACAAAUAAAUUGUCAGACACUGCCAGAUCAAUGUGGCAUUAAUAAUGUUAUUGAUGGAAAAUAAUCAUCUGUCAUUUUUAUAUACACACUUCAUAUACACUAGACUGGGGGUUAUAUCAAACUAUAGCCGAUGGGCCAAAUCUGUCCUGCCAUCUGUUUUUCUAUGGCCUAAAAGCUAAGAAUGUCUAACUUUCUUUUUUUGAGAUGGAGUCUCCCUCUGUUGCCCAGGCUGGAGUAGUGGCAAGAUCUUGGAUCACUGCAGCCUCCAGGGUUCAAGCAAUUCUCCUGCCUCAGCCUCUCGGGUAGCUGGGAUUACAGACACACACCACCACGCCCGGCUAAUUUUUAUAUUUUUAGUAGAGAUGAGGUUUUACCAUGUUAGCCAAGCUGGUCUCGAACUCCUGACCUCAGGUGAUCCACCCGCCUCGGCCUCCCAAAGUGCUGGGAUUACAGGUCUGAGCCACCGUGCCCGGCCUCUUUUUAACAUUUUUCAAUGGUUUAAAAAAAUCAAAAUAGUAUUUUGUAAAAACUAUAUAAAAUUCAAAUUCUAGUAUCCAUUUAUAAAGUUUUAUUGGAACACAGCUGUGCUCAUCUGUUUCUAUAUUAACUAUGUCUACUUUUGCACUAAAAUGUUUAGUGGCAAAAGAGACCAUAUGGCCCAUAAAGACUCCUUUAUAGAAGUCUGUUGACCACUGGACUAUGCCCAAGUGAGUCCUUGGAGGGGACCCACUGGAGCUCCCCACUAUAGAUUUUUUGUUUCCGGAUAUUAAUACUGGGAAAGGGGUGAUUCAACUAGGACAGUAUUUGCAAGGAUCUGAUAAGGGAGACACUGUAGAACAUAAAUACAUGAUGGUUACCUCAGAAAAGAUAUAAACGCCUGGUAAAAUCUGGGUGGGCUGACUGAAGAAGAAGUAAUUGGAGAAUGCACAGUAACAUACACAAUUUAGCAGCAAAGGUGGGCUCUUAUUGAGUCACAUGGGACCUUGCUGAGACCCAAUCCCAACGAGCCUAGUGAAACUCUCUGGUGAUGAUGUCUGCAAAUAGCAGGGAGACUGAGCAGCAUUUGUAAUGCAAUGACAGACAAUUCCCCAAUAGUACCCCAUUCCUUUAUUAGGUGUCCUCAAGUCAUUUAGCAUCCAGAUUUAUCCAGGCAUUUCCAAAGGCAAGUCUUAGUCUUUGACUAGAAAUUCAUCUGAAAAAAAGUUUCUGGGAAGGAGGCCCCAGGUAAACAUUCUUCCCCAAAUAACAUUUCAAUGAGGACUCAGUGAGGAUCAGAAUUCAGAAGAUGGCAGAACCCUCCACAUGUUUUUCUAAGUCACAGAUUUGGUGAACAUUUUAUUCUUUCUCUUUUUGAUCAUUACUAGUGGGGCAAAUGAAGCAAGGUAGGGUGGGGUGAUGGAAGGGGAGAAUUGCAUAAAAUCAGUGUUAGGAUGAUCUGCCCCAGAAGGCAUGUAUUCCUCUUAGACGCUCAGCUGUGGCAUAAAACAUUCCAUGUGGACUUUGAAUUAGAAUGAGCGUGGGGGCGGGGACAAAGAUCAACCUGAAAGCCAAACGGAGUCAUUGACCGAUGGUGUUAAGCUUGAGAAAGUUUGCAGAUGGCCAGCUCUCCUACUGACAUCCCACAGAAAGCCAGGCUUGAUCUAUUGUGGUUAGGUGGAGUUUCUCCUGCCAGGGAAAAUACAGUUGCUAGGAGAAUGGGCUUUGGAUGUUAUAACUCUGAAGAAGUUUCAUGACUCUUGCUACUAGAGGUAACCAUAUUGCCUCCUUGAGAAACUGGUGACACUGGGUGCCUCUGGGGAGUGCAACUGAGGGUGGCUAAGGUGCCCAUGUCCCUUAGAAAAAACAAAAUCAACACAUAAUUCCCCCAUGUCACCCCACCCUGCUUCUUUAAGAUAGGAAGGCAACCUGGGGCCAGGGCUGGAGCAGACAAUUUCCUUACUCAGCAGCUGAAGCGGGGAGCUGAAAGAAGGAUCCAAAAAAUCAGAGAAGAGUUGUAAGUUAAGUGGAAAACCAUGACCCAAAGGUCAAUACAAGGAUCAGCACACCAAAGUGACCAAAAGCAGCUACUGAAGAUGUGACCCAGGACCAGAAAACAAAGCAACAAGGAAAGAGAGGAGUAAGAGCAAACUGUGAAGAAUAAACUGAGAGGUGUCUGAAGAUAGUCAAGGACAAGAGCCUGGGGUGUGACGGACACAUAGCUGGAUGUGUGAGACUACGGGACCAGGAGCUCAAGAGGCCUAGGCAGCAAGGUGCAGGCCAGGGCAAAACGUGCAUCAGCAAUAAAAUAGAUUUGGUGGGUGGACACAUUAGGAGUACUCAUAUAAGAACUUUCCUAUUUGGAGAUGCCCAGAUCAUGCUCUACCCUUGGGUUUAGAAAUUCUGAGCAGCCAAAUGUGAAUGGUUUGCUCUGGAUAAGUCCUUUUCAUUAUAGCCAAUUGGAACCAUUUGAAUUCACACUCCUAAUUACCUGCUUCUGGUUGCUGUGUCUAAACCAUGUCUGGACCAACAUAGCUUCUGGUACUCUACACUCCACCAUGGGUCUUGGUCCAGCAUCACUGGCAGGGACAUACCAGCCCUGUUCAUAGGACUGGAAUAAAAUCCAGAAGUAAGUUGUCUCAGGACCUCUGUUUAAUAACAGGUUAGAAACAACUCCUGUAGGUAUGGUUGUGGGAUCCUGGCCUGGGACCAGGAGCAUAUAAAUCUGCAACAAUUACCACUGGGUAGGCCUUAGCAAGGAUUACUAUGAGGUUCAGCAACAAAGCUGCAAGAACUAGUGGUGGGGACUUUGUUCCUAAAGUGCAGUGUCCCUGGUGCCAAGUGCUUGUGGGCAACCUAGAGCCGCAUCUGAUGUAGGAAGACUUCAUUGUCCUGAAAUGGAAUGUCUAGAAACUGUUAAGGAGCUGGAGGUCUAUAAGCUGUUGUUUGGUUUAAGAGUUUUCUUACACAGUAUCUUCUCUUUGUGGGACAACGUCUAGCUUUCAAGGUGUCUCAAAACUAACAGCCCUGUCUCACCCAUCCUCAUGG